GAUGUUGGCUUAGAAGCAGCCAUACAUUUAAAGAGUGCGUAAUAGCUCACUGGUCGAGUGAUCCUGCGCCGAAAAUUACCGGGGCUAAAACAUAAUACCGAAGCUUUGGAUUAUACUGUAGAGUAUAGUGGUAGGAGAGCAUCGUAUACAGUAAGAAGCAGAAUCGAAAGAAAAAGUGGACCGUAUACGAGAGAGAAUGUUGGCAUGAGUAGCGAGAGGAAGGUGAGAAUCCUUCCGGCCGAAAACCUAAGGUUUCCUGAGGAAGGUUCGUCCGCUCAGGGUAAGUCGGGACCUAAGCCAAGGCCGAAAGGCGUAGGUGAUGGACAACGGGUAAUAAAUCCCGUACCACCGUAGUUGAAUGAGCGAAGGGGGGACGCAGGAGGAUGACCGGAGCACGCCGUUGGUAGAGCGUGUCCAAGCAGAAAGCGAGUAAGACCAGGCAAAUCCGGUAAUACAAUCGUAAUCUGUGAUGGGGAGUGAAAAUAAAGUAGCGAAGCCGAAUCAUUCAAACUGCCAGGAAAAGCCUCUAGCAAGACCAAGGUGCCCGUACCGCAAACCGACACAGGUAGGUGAGGAGAGAAUCCUAAGGCCAGCGAGAGAACUGUUGUUAAGGAACUCGGCAAAAUAACCCCGUAACCUAGGGAGAAGGGGAGCCUGUGAGAGCAGGCCGCAGAGAAUAGGCCCAAGCGACUGUUUACCAAAAACAUAGGUUUCUGCAAAACUGCAAAGUGAAGUAUAGGAGCUGACGCCUGCCCGGUGCUGGAAGGUUAAGGGGAAGACUUAGAGCAAUCGAAGGUUCGAACUUAAGCCCCAGUAAACGGCGGCCGUAACUAUAACGGUCCUAAGGUAGCGAAAUUCCUUGUCGGGUAAGUUCCGACCCGCACGAAAGGCGUAACGAUUUGGGCACUGUCUCAACAACAGACUCGGUGAAAUUGUAGUGCCGGUGAAGAUGCCGGACACCUGCGACAGGACGGAAAGACCCCAUGGAGCUUUACUGCAGCUUAGCAUUGGAUUUAGGUAACAGAUGUACAGGAUAGGUGGGAGACUUAGAGUAUAGGGCGUCAGCCUUGUAGGAGUCAACGUUGGGAUACCACCCUUGUGUUGCUUGAAUUCUAACUAGAAUCAUUGAAUCAUGAUAUAGGACACUGCUUGGCAGGCAGUUUGACUGGGGCGGUCGCCUCCCAAAGAGUAACGGAGGCGUCCAAAGGUUCCCUCAUCACGGACGGAAAUCGUGAGAAGAGUGCAAAGGCAAAAGGGAGCUUGAUUGCGAGACAAACAGGUCGAGCAAGGACGAAAGUCGGGCUUAGUGAUCCGGUGGUAGAAAGUGGAAUUGCCAUCGCUCAACGGAUAAAAGCUACCCUGGGGAUAACAGGCUUAUCUCUCCCAAGAGUCCAUAUCGACGGGGAGGUUUGGCACCUCGAUGUCGGCUCAUCACAUCCUGGGGCUGUAGUAGGUCCCAAGGGUUGGGCUGUUCGCCCAUUAAAGUGGUACGCGAGCUGGGUUCAGAACGUCGUGAGACAGUUCGGUCCCUAUCCGUCGCAGGCGCAGGAAAUUUGAGAGGAGCUGUCCUUAGUACGAGAGGACCGGGAUGGACACACCACUGGUGCACCAGUUGUACUGCCAAGUGCACAGCUGGGUAGCUAUGUGUGGGAAGGAUAAGUGCUGAAGGCAUCUAAGCACGAAGCCAGCCUCAAGAUAAGAUUUCCCAUUCGAGAGAAGUAAGAUUCCAUGAAGACUACAUGGUAGAUAGGCUCAAAGUGGAAGUGCAGUAAUGUAUGAAGCGAACGAGUACUAAUCAAUCGAGGACUUGAUCCG
rnacentral:rRNA from 1 species